UCGUGGCUGUGAUUCUGCUUCUGGUUCUGAUUGGACUCUUAUUUUUCAUAGUGGCUCUUCGAAAGAAAAGGAAUCCUCAAGCUACAUCCCCAGACCAGACUCUCAGUGACUCUUCUAACAACCGCCGGGUUUCCCAUACAGUCUACGACUACGAAGAUAUUAAAGCCACGGGACGCCAUCCUACACCAGAUACUGGAGCUUCAACAGUCUACUCUACUGCCCAGCUACCCACAAACCCCUCAGAUCCUUCUCACACUCUCUACCAUAAUGUUCAAUUACGCACCUGCCUGGGAGAUUUUUCAAAUCCUAUUUAUUCUACGGCUCAGGACCCUCAACUUCCCACAAGCCCCUCUGAUUCCUCAGUAAGUGACCUUCAGCGUAAAUCUGUACAACCCGCUGAAGAUCCAGCUUACGCCACUGUGAAAUUCACCAAAAAUGAUGCUGUUACCAUAGCAACCGUCAACAAGGAAGAGGAAGACUCAUGUGACUACGCCACUGUCAAGUAACAUGAUAGCGGAAGUGCUAGUUUAGCAUGUAGCAUUAUAUGCUAAUCCAAUUCCAUCAAAAUUUAAUUUUUCUAUUUUUUUUUUUUUAGUUACGGAAGAGUGUAAUAUUGGUGAUGUAGUUAAAAAAUGUACUGUCCAUACAAUUUAGUUGAUGAGCACCUUAUAUCUCCAUUUCUUGUUUUUUUUUUUGUUUUUUAAUAUUCACCUACUGUAAACUCGGCAGGUGUUUUUCACAUUAUAUCAGUAUGUCAUGUUUAAUAGACCAAUAGAAAUGCCCUAAAAAUACUUGUCCAAUUACUUGUAUGUGUCAGACAAACGCUAUGUUAUUUUACACUCUGUGCACCUGUGUAGCCAAGAUAGCGAUGAACGUCUGACUGUUGGCGUCUGUCUAGGUUGUAUUCAGUCAGUGGAGCUCCUGUGUUUUCUGUUACCAAGAUAAUCAAGCAAAACUCCAGAAAUGUACCUGAACACACCUCAUUUCCAGAACACCACGCCUAUAAAUGUGCUUUUUUUUUCUUAUGUACAACUUUAAAUAAAAUGUUUUGUCUUAAUAACUAUGUGACAUGUAAAAGCUUACCAAAACAAAUUUAUUUGUUACAUUUUUUCCACUUAUCUUUUAAAUGUAAUACAUUAUAUAUGUGUGAUGCUAUUUGAAGAAAAGGUAAUACACAAAAUAAAAUUAUGAAAAUACAUUUUUAAAAA